UCCCACUUCCUAAGAGUGUCAAGCAUAUUCACAACAUGUUUUAACGUAGGCGCACUUCAAACGACGCCUACAAAGCAUAUCAUACAAAUGUCAAUAGUGAUUUAGUUUUGUACUUUUAAUGUAUGAAGAGUAUGACUUUCUUAAGGAGGAUAUAGGCCUCGAUCGACUAACAGGGUUAAUUCAGUUAAAUAGUUGAUUAGUGUUUGUAUCAUAGACUAGGAUUAGACUAAGUCGAUACACUUAAUCACAAGUGCCUAAGUAACCAUCUAAGCUUAAAGAAAGUAACAAUAUGAGCUGUUUUAACUGAUAACAUGUAUUGAAAUUUCGAAUGUAUUGCAGGUUUGGGUACCAACAAAUCCACCAGGAGCUGAAAGAUUACCCCUGGAAUUGUUGUAUCUGAGACUGAUUUUUAUGAACACAAACUCUGGGGUCUUCCUGAAGAGGACCUGAGUAGCAAACCAAAGUACCUCAUUGCCUUUACAGUAGGCUAUGAUCUAAGAUACAAUGGCCAUGUUUGGUAAAUGGCUCUUUGAUGUCUUUUUGGUUAGCUUUUAGAUUUUGGAUUUUUUAUGUGGUCAAACAGCUAAAAAAUGUGUUUGGUAAUUGACUUUUUAGUCAGCGAAAAAGCUGGCUUUAAAGCUAAAAUGAAAAAGCUACUUUAAGUAGCUUUUUUUUGUUGGCUAUUGGCUUGUUAACCCACAAAUUAUCUAAUAAACAGCCAACAACCAACAAUUAAUUUACCAAACACUUUUAUAAACAGCCAGCUUAAACAGCCAAUUUCAAAAGUCAUUAUAAAUAGCCAAAUAUUCCAGCUGGUCAAACAAGCCAAGUGAACCAGCCAACAGCCAACCGCCAAUAGCCAUUUGUCAAACAAGGCCAAUAUUGAUACUUAUGUUAAAAAGGUUUAACCACGACUCUUUUGAUCUAACCUCCGUUCCUCAAUUAAAUAUAUGUUCGUGUGCUGAAUCUGAUGCUCACAGUUUCCAGUCAACUUUACUAUUCUCCUGUUUCAUUAUGAUGGACGAACAAGUGAAUGGGAUGAAUUUGAGUGGUCAAAGCGCGCUAUCCAUGUUAGUGCCCAGAAACAAACGAAAUGGUGGUAUGCUAAACGAUUUCUGCACCCUAAUGUUGUAGCUGCAUACGAUUACAUAUUUAUAUGGGAUGAAGAUCAUGGGGUUGAACACUUUGAUGCAGAAGUCUAAGCUGUUUAUAACAUCGAAAUUCUAAGUUAUGUACUUUCUUUCAUUUGACUUAUCUAGACCAGAUUAAUUUAAGUUACCCUUUAAUG